rnacentral:rRNA from 1 species
AUUGAACGCUGGCGGCAGGCUUAACACAUGCAAGUCGAGCGGGGGAAGGUAGCUUGCUACCGGACCUAGCGGCGGACGGGUGAGUAAUGCUUAGGAAUCUGCCUAUUAGUGGGGGACAACAUCUCGAAAGGGAUGCUAAUACCGCAUACGUCCUACGGGAGAAAGCAGGGGAUCUUCGGACCUUGCGCUAAUAGAUGAGCCUAAGUCGGAUUAGCUAGUUGGUGGGGUAAAGGCCUACCAAGGCGACGAUCUGUAGCGGGUCUGAGAGGAUGAUCCGCCACACUGGGACUGAGACACGGCCCAGACUCCUACGGGAGGCAGCAGUGGGGAAUAUUGGACAAUGGGGGGAACCCUGAUCCAGCCAUGCCGCGUGUGUGAAGAAGGCCUUAUGGUUGUAAAGCACUUUAAGCGAGGAGGAGGCUACUUUAGUUAAUACCUAGAGAUAGUGGACGUUACUCGCAGAAUAAGCACCGGCUAACUCUGUGCCAGCAGCCGCGGUAAUACAGAGGGUGCGAGCGUUAAUCGGAUUUACUGGGCGUAAAGCGUGCGUAGGCGGCUUAUUAAGUCGGAUGUGAAAUCCCCGAGCUUAACUUGGGAAUUGCAUUCGAUACUGGUGAGCUAGAGUAUGGGAGAGGAUGGUAGAAUUCCAGGUGUAGCGGUGAAAUGCGUAGAGAUCUGGAGGAAUACCGAUGGCGAAAGCAGCCAUCUGGCCUAAUACUGACGCUGAGGUACGAAAGCAUGGGGAGCAAACACGAUUAGAUACCC